GUGCCAGCAGCCGCGGUAAGACGAAGGGGGCUAGCGUUGUUCGGAAUUACUGGGCGUAAAGCGCGUGUAGGCGGUUGCCAAAGUCGGGUGUGAAAGCCUUGAGCUCAACUCAAGAAAUGCACUCGAUACUUGGUGACUAGAGUGCCGGAGAGGAUAGUGGAAUUCCCAGUGUAGUGGUGAAAUACGUAGAGAUUGGGAAGAACACCAGUGGCGAAGGCGGCUAUCUGGACGGUUACUGACGCUAAGACGCGAAAGCGUGGGGAGCAAACAGGAUUAGAUACCCUGGUAGUCC
rnacentral:rRNA from 1 species